rnacentral:rRNA from 1 species
AUUGAACGCUGGCGGCAUGCCUUACACAUGCAAGUCGAACGGCAGCAUAGGAGCUUGCUCCUGAUGGCGAGUGGCGAACGGGUGAGUAAUAUAUCGGAACGUGCCCUAGAGUGGGGGAUAACUAGUCGAAAGACUAGCUAAUACCGCAUACGAUCUACGGAUGAAAGUGGGGGAGCGCAAGACCUCAUGCUCCUGGAGCGGCCGAUAUCUGAUUAGCUAGUUGGUGGGGUAAAAGCUCACCAAGGCGACGAUCAGUAGCUGGUCUGAGAGGACGACCAGCCACACUGGGACUGAGACACGGCCCAGACUCCUACGGGAGGCAGCAGUGGGGAAUUUUGGACAAUGGGGGCAACCCUGAUCCAGCAAUGCCGCGUGAGUGAAGAAGGCCUUCGGGUUGUAAAGCUCUUUUGUCAGGGAAGAAACGGUUCUGGAUAAUACCUGGGACUAAUGACGGUACCUGAAGAAUAAGCACCGGCUAACUACGUGCCAGCCGCCGCCGUAA